AUUGAACGCUGGCGGCAGGCCUAACACAUGCAAGUCGAGCGGGGACUUCGGUCCUAGCGGCGAACGGGUGAGUAAUGCUUGGGAAUCUGCCCAGUAGUGGGGGAUAACGUCCCGAAAGGGACGCUAAUACCGCAUACGUCCUACGAGAGAAAGAGGGGGAUCUUCGGACCUCUCGCUAUUGGAUGAGCCCAAGUCGGAUUAGCUAGUUGGUAGGGUAAUGGCCUACCAAGGCGACGAUCCGUAGCUGGUCUGAGAGGAUGAUCAGCCACACUGGAACUGAGACACGGUCCAGACUCCUACGGGAGGCAGCAGUGGGGAAUAUUGGACAAUGGGCGAAAGCCUGAUCCAGCCAUGCCGCGUGUGUGAAGAAGGCCUUCGGGUUGUAAAGCACUUUAAGCGGGGAGGAAGGUUCGCGGCCUAAUACGUCGCGGAAUUGACGUUACCCGCAGAAUAAGCACCGGCUAACUCUGUG
rnacentral:rRNA from 1 species